rnacentral:rRNA from 1 species
GAUGAACGAUGGCGGCGUGCCUAAUACAUGCAAGUCGAGCGAACGGACGAGAAGCUUGCUUCUCUGAUGUUAGCGGCGGACGGGUGAGUAACACGUGGAUAACCUACCUAUAAGACUGGGAUAACUUCGGGAAACCGGAGCUAAUACCGGAUAAUAUUUUGAGCCGCAUGGUUCAAAAGUGAAAGACGGUCUUGCUGUCACUUAUAGAUGGAUCCGCGCUGCAUUAGCUAGUUGGUAAGGUAACGGCUUACCAAGGCAACGAUGCAUAGCCGACCUGAGAGGGUGAUCGGCCACACUGGAACUGAGACACGGUCCAGACUCCUACGGGAGGCAGCAGUAGGGAAUCUUCCGCAAUGGGCGAAAGCCUGACGGAGCAACGCCGCGUGAGUGAUGAAGGUCUUCGGAUCGUAAAACUCUGUUAUUAGGGAAGAACAUAUGUGUAAGUAACUGUGCACAUCUUGACGGUACCUAAUCAGAAAGCCACGGCUAACUACGUG